rnacentral:lncRNA from 1 species
UUUUCUUAAAUUUCCACAUCAUAGCCCAUCAUCAAAGGAAGUCAGGGCAGGAUCCUGGAGGCAGGAGAUGAGGCAGAGGCCAUGGAGGAGAGCUGCUUACUGGCUUGUUCCUUAUGGAUGGUUCAGCCUGCUUUCUUAUAGCAUCUAGGACCAUCAUCCCAGGUUCCUGCUUGAUUUCCUAUCCUGAUGUCUCAAUGCAGAAUGUGAUGGGGAAGAAACCAAAUUAGGACAAACGGCAGGCACUUUGGCAACUGCACCACCUCCUCAACUCCUACUGUCAUCAUAGUACCUUCAUCCAGUAACUGAUGGAAGCAAAUGCAAAGAUCCUCAUCCAAGCACCAGGCUAAGCUACAGCUGUCCAGUCGAAGAGAAAGAAGGAUUAUAUGAGCAAAGAGGGUCAAGAUCAUGAUGGGGAAACUCACAGAGACAGUGGACCUGAACUUGCUGGAGCUCACGGACUCAUUGAACUAUAUACUGAAUGCAGAGACUGAUUUGUGGAAAGUUGGUGUCAUGAUAUUAUUGAAUCAUGUGAAUAACGUGAGCAUCAUGUGGCUGGGCCCAAUCCCAGGAUGCAUUAUUUAGAUUCUAUCCCUGAUGACAUCCAAUAAACCAAUCUUAAGGAAAGGAAUGACUUGUAAUGAUGUGUACUUACAUGCUAAGAAGAAAUCAAGGAUAACUUAGCUAGAAG